CUUGAGGAUGCUUGCUGCCUAAAGGAAAUGCCUUCAAGAAGACAGCUCUUGGAUCUCAGCCCUUUUAGGGAAUUGCCUUGACUGAAGAAACUGCCUGGCUAAACUGACAGCCUGUCUCCAACGACUGCCUAAGACUGCUUCCUGAGAAACUCCUUCAAAACCGAAUCAAGACCAAAAGGCAUGUGCUGAGGGCUGACUGAUCUCUUUGUAUUCAGAUUCAUGGAAAUGCCUGCCUGGAAGCACAUAGGGAUGGAACUUAGCCAAAACUGAUGCCAAUGUACUUUCCCACCUUACAUCAUGGUGCACAAGAAUAUUGAAUGGAGAGACCAGCAGUUGGUGUAAUGGCUACAUUGUUGAACUCCC